GAUGAACGCUGGCGGCGUGCCUAAUACAUGCAAGUCGAGCGAACGGACGAGAAGCUUGCUUCUCUGAUGUUAGCGGCGGACGGGUGAGUAACACGUGGAUAACCUACCUAUAAUACUGGGAUAACUUCGGGAAACCGGAGCUAAUACCGGAUAAUAUUUUGAACCGCAUGGUUCAAAAGUGAAAGACGGUCUUGCUGUCACUUAUAGAUGGAUCCGCGCUGCAUUAGCUAGUUGGUAAGGUAACGGCUUACCAAGGCAACGAUGCAUAGCCGACCUGAGAGCGUGAUCGGCCACACUGGAACUGAGACACAGUCCAGACUCCUACGCGAGGCAGCAGUAGGGAAUCUUCCGCAAUGGGCGAAAGCCUGACGGAGCAACGCCGCGUGAGUGAUGAAGGUCUUCGGAUCGUACAACUCUGUUAUUAGGGAAGAACAUAUGUGUAAGUAACUGUGCACAUCUUGACGGUACCUAAUCAGAAAGCCACGGCUAACUACGUG
rnacentral:rRNA from 1 species